CUUGGGUAUACCAGCUGGUGGGAGUAUAAUUUGUUCUGAGGGCUGGUAAUUUGGUUUUCCUAAAUUUCUCUAUCAGUCUUUGCCCUGAUGCCUGUCUCUAGGAUGAGAAAACUGAGGACUAGAGAAGUUUAUGAAUAAGCCUCAAAUCAUCUACAAAGUAAACCUGAGAGACAAUAUUUAAACUCAGGCAAUCAAAAUCAAUAGUUCCUGGUCUCACGGCUGUCUCAUGCUAAUACAGUGCAUAAGUCCAGGUGAAAUUCCAACCAGCAGCUGCAUGAACUCUUACCUAAACAGAUACACUCAGAAGACCCUGUGGCCCAGAUUCAAGUAACAUCAAAUGUUUUUUCAAAGCAUUCAUGGUGCUAGUCUCCAGGCAUGCCAUUUCCCAGAAGGUUCUUUUGUUUUAUCCUCCAAGACUCCCCUAAUUUUGGUUCCAUAUAUUUUUGCCUAUUAUCCUCAGGACCUUGCAUAAGUUUCCAGGUCUUAAUGUAAACUCUCAACAGGAUCUGAAGGGAGUGAAUUGUCAAUGGCUAACACUGUUGGGAAGUCUAUUAAAGAAACACUUUCCUUAUGAAGAGAAAAUCUGUUCCCUGCCUCUAAUCAUUCUUAGCUCCAG